UCUCUCAAAGUGCUAAUGUCCGG
rnacentral:siRNA from 1 species